UGUGGAUGGUUGCUGAGCUUCGCAUUCGGCAUUGGGCUUGCUUUGUUUCCUGCCAGGCCCAGCAUUUUCUUCUACCAGAUCGGCAGGCUUGUGGGUUUCUUCCUAGGUCCCUCCCCUGCACUCUGAAUAGGAAAGCUGGAAGCUGUGCUUUAGAGAAGCUUUAAGACGCUGUAAGAAACCAGAAGAAAAGCAUUUUGACUUGUUGAUGUCAAUUUGGAACAGCUGAAAAAAUACAGGAAAAUAAGAUAAAUACGUACAUAUUGAGGGUGGGGACAAAAUGAAGGUUCUGAACCAGCUGCUGGCUUACAGUAGCCAUAUAAGCAGCAGCAGCAAUGCACCAACCUGGUGGCAUGGAAUGCUCACAUGGGAGAGCCGCAUGAGGCCGCCCACCACACUUCCUGAAGGAUGCCCGUGUGGAAGAAUUUUGACGUGCCAGUGUCCUCGUUCUACAGGGUGUUCCAUUCUUUCACAAUCUCAGAAAAAUGGGACUAAAAGAGACUAUUUUGUAAAAUAAGAAGACUGUUUUCCAUUU
rnacentral:sRNA from 1 species